UUGAGGAGGGAUACAGGCAAAUCCGUAUCCCAAUCCAAUGGUGUUACGCGGAGCGAACAAAAGUAGCGAAGCACACAGACCAUCUGUCGAGAAAAGCCGCUAUUGUGUAUACCGUACCCGUACCGUAAACCGACACAGGUGGAUGAGGAGAGAAUCCUAAGGCCGGCGGGAGAAGCAUUGUUAAGGAACUCGGCAAAAUGUCCCCGUAACUUCGGGAGAAGGGGUGCUCACGCAAGUGAGCCGCAGAGAACUGGCCCAAGCAACUGUUUAGCAAAAACACAGGUCUAUGCAAAACCGAAAGGUGAGGUAUAUGGGCUAACGCCUGCCCGGUGCUGGAAGGUUAAGAGGAGAUGUUAGAGCAAUCGAAGCAUUGAAUUUAAGCCCCAGUAAACGGCGGCCGUAACAAUAACGGUCCUAAGGUAGCGAAAUUCCUUGUCGGGUAAGUUCCGACCUGCACGAAAGGCGUAAUGAUUUGGGCACUGUCUCGACAAUGCACCCGGUGAAGUUGAAAUACCAGUGAAGAUGCUGGUUACCUGCGCCAGGACGGAAAGACCCCAUGGAGCUUUACUCUAGCUUGAUACUGGGAUUCGGUAUUGCAUGUACAGGAUAGGUGGGAGACGAAGAGGUGAUGACGCCAGUUGUCACGGAGUCGAUGUUGGGAUACCACCCCUGCAGUACUGGGUUUCUAACCUGCGGCCGUGACCCGGCCGGGGGACAAUGUCUGGUGGGGAGUUUGACUGGGGCGGUCGCCUCCGAAAGGGUAUCGGAGGCGCUCAAAGGUUCCCUCAGAAUGGUUGGAAACCAUUCGAAGAGUGCAAAGGCAGAAGGGAGCUUGACUGCGACACCGACGGGUGGAGCAGGUACGAAAGUAGGACUUAGUGAUCCGGUGGUAUGAAAGUGGGAUUGCCAUCGCUCAACGGAUAAAAGCUACCCUGGGAUAACAGGCUUAUCACUCCCAAGAGUUCACAUCGACGGAGUGGUUUGGCACCUCGAUGUCGGCUCAUCGCAUCCUGGGGCUGUAGUAGGUCCCAAGGGUUGGGCUGUUCGCCCAUUAAAGCGGUACGCGAGCUGGGUUCAGAACGUCGUGAGACAGUUCGGUCCCUAUCCGGCGUGGGCGCAGGAUAUCUGAGAGGAGCUGUCCUUAGUACGAGAGGACCGGGAUGGACUGACCUCUGGUGCAUCGGUUGAGCCACCAGGCUCAUGGCCGAGUAGCCAAGUCGGGACGGGAUAAACGCUGAAGGCAUCUAAGCGUGAAGCCCCCCUCAAGAUGAGAUAUCCCAUAGAGUUAAUCUAGUAAGACCCCUUGAAGACGACGAGGUAGAUAGGCAGAAGGUGGAAGUGUGGUGACAUAUGGAGCUGAUCUGUACUAAUAGGUCGAGGGCUUAACCAA
rnacentral:rRNA from 1 species